UGGGAACGUGCCUUUCGGUUCGGGACAACCCAGGGAAACUUGGGCUAAUACCGGAUACGCCCUUCGGGGGAAAGGAUUCAUUGCCGAAAGAUCGGCCCGCGUCGGAUUAGCUAGUUGGUGAGGUAAAAGCCUACCAAGGCGACGAUCCGUAGCUGGUCUGAGAGGAUGACCAGCCACACUGGGACUGAGACACGGCCCAGACUCCUACGGGAGGCAG
rnacentral:rRNA from 1 species